CAUGCCGUAAACGAUGAAUGCUAGGUGUCGGGGGUCAAACCUCGGUGCCGCAGUUAACACAGUAAGCAUUCCGCCUGGGGAGUACGGUGGCAACACUGAAACUCAAAGGAAUUGACGGGGACCCGCACAAGCAGCGGAGCAUGUGGUUUAAUUCGAUGCAACGCGAAGAACCUUACCAGGACUUGACAUAUAGAUGAAAGAUCUAGAGAUAGAUCCCUCUCUUCGGAGACAGCUAUACAGGUGG
rnacentral:rRNA from 1 species